UGCAGUCGAGCGGAUGAGAGAGCUUGCUCUCUGAUUCAGCGGCGGACGGGUGAGUAAUGCCUAGGAAUCUGCCUGGUAGUGGGGGACAACGUUUCGAAAGGAACGCUAAUACCGCAUACGUCCUACGGGAGAAAGCAGGGGACCUUCGGGCCUUGCGCUAUCAGAUGAGCCUAGGUCGGAUUAGCUAGUUGGUGAGGUAAUGGCUCACCAAGGCGACGAUCCGUAACUGGUCUGAGAGGAUGAUCAGUCACACUGGAACUGAGACACGGUCCAGACUCCUACGGGAGGCAGCAGUGGGGAAUAUUGGACAAUGGGCGAAAGCCUGAUCCAGCCAUGCCGCGUGUGUGAAGAAGGUCUUCGGAUUGUAAAGCACUUUAAGUUGGGAGGAAGGGUUGUAGAUUAAUACUCUGCAAUUUUGACGUUACCGACAGAAUAAGCACCGGCUAACUCUGUGCCAGCAGCCGCGGUAAUACAGAGGGUGCAAGCGUUAAUCGGAAUUACUGGGCGUAAAGCGCGCGUAGGUGGUUCGUUAAGUUGGAUGUGAAAGCCCCGGGCUCAACCUGGGAACUGCAUUCAAAACUGACGAGCUAGAGUAUGGUAGAGGGGUGGGGGGGAAUUUCCUGUGUAGCGGUGAAAUGCGUAGAUAUAGGAAGGAACACCAGUGGCGAAAGCGACCACCUGGACUGAUACUGACACUGAGUGCGAAAGCGUGGGGAGCAACAGGAUUAGAUACCCUGGUAGUCCACGCCGUAACGAUGUCAACUAGCCGUUGGGAGCCUU
rnacentral:rRNA from 1 species